rnacentral:lncRNA from 1 species
GUUUGUGAGCAAUAUAUGACAUCAUGGAUGUGAAAACUCCAUGUCACCUGCCAAGUGAUGUAAAACCAUGUGGCUCAGUAGAAAGGAGUCUGUGACUUUCGGCUAGCCCUUUCAAAAUGAUGUGUGGGUAAUACCAGGGAUGUUAUAGAUACAAAAAUCAGUUGCAUAAUAUCAGGCUAAGCUCAUCUGGGGUAACAGGAGCAAGAAUCAAGGACUGUUGAAACAGAUGCUGGGGAGUUUCCACAAACGAGUGCUUUUCUGUGAUGACUUGAAGACAUAUGUGAUCUGGUGUGAAUGUGUCAUUUAUUUCAGAUUAGGGAGCUGUUCAUGUUUGAGCAUGCUUUGCCCUUAAUUGCCUGGGGAUUUUUAGAUAGCCCUGUCUUCAGUGGUCUGAAACAAGUCGCAAUGUACUGCAGCAAUACUGCUCCCCACAGAACUUACAAAUUCAACUCAAAAUCAAUUGCAGGCACAGUGAGUAAGAUGCUGUAUCACAGGCAAUAACUUCAGGCUCUUGCGGUGGAUAUAGAUUCUUGCUGCAAGGAAAUAACAUUUUCUGAAUAUCCACUAAGUUCCAAAGGUGAAUGAAAUGGGCUCCCCGUUGUGAAUAGCUCGCGAUGUAAUCAUGAAGACAAAACCCAAAAGCAGAUAACUUGUAUGUAUGUAUGUGUCUGUCACUCAGUCGUGUCCAACUCUUUGUGACCUCAUGGGCUUUAGCCUGCCAAGCUUCUCUG